rnacentral:rRNA from 1 species
AAUGCAUAGGAAUCUGCCCAGUAGUGGGGGAUAACUCGGAGAAAUCCGAGCUAAUACCGCAUAUGUCCUACGGGACAAAGCAGGGGACCUUCGGGCCUUGCGCUAUUGGAUGAGCCUAUGUCGGAUUAGCUAGUUGGUAGAGUAAAAGCCUACCAAGGCGACGAUCCGUAGCUGGUCUGAGAGGAUGAUCAGCCACACUGGAACUGAGACACGGUCCAG